GAUGAACGCUAGCGGCAGGCCUAAUACAUGCAAGUCGAACGGUGUCUUCGGACAUAGUGGCGCACGGGUGCGUAACACGUAUGCAACCUACCUUACAUUGGGGGAUAGCCUUUCGAAAGGGAGGUUAAUACCGCAUAAGACAGUAACUAGGCAUCUAGUAGCUGUUAAAGAUUUAUCGAUGUAAGCUGGGCAUGCGUCCAAUUAGCUAGUUGGUGAGGUAACAGCUCACCAAGGCAAUGAUUGGUAGGGGAACUGAGAGGUCAAUCCCCCACACUGGCACUGAGAUACGGGCCAGACUCCUACGGGAGGCAGCAGUAGGGAAUAUUGGGCAAUGGACGCAAGUCUGACCCAGCCAUGCCGCGUGCAGGAUGAAGGCGUUAUGCGUUGUAAACUGCUUUUAUACAGGAAGAAACGACUCUUGCGAGAGGCAUUGACGGUACUGUAUGAAUAAGCACCGGCUAACUCCGUGCCAGCCGCCGCGGUAAGAC
rnacentral:rRNA from 1 species